UUUGGAAGAAAAUUGAUCCUGGCUCAGAUUGAACGCUGGCGGCAGGCUUAACACAUGCAAGUCGAGCGGAGAGAGGUAGCUUGCUACUGAUCUUAGCGGCGGACGGGUGAGUAAUGCUUAGGAAUCUGCCUAUUAGUGGGGGACAACAUUUCGAAAGGAAUGCUAAUACCGCAUACGUCCUACGGGAGAAAGCAGGGGAUCUUCGGACCUUGCGCUAAUAGAUGAGCCUAAGUCGGAUUAGCUAGUUGGUGGGGUAAAGGCCUACCAAGGCGACGAUCUGUAGCGGGUCUGAGAGGAUGAUCCGCCACACUGGGACUGAGACACGGCCCAGACUCCUACGGGAGGCAGCAGUGGGGAAUAUUGGACAAUGGGCGCAAGCCUGAUCCAGCCAUGCCGCGUGUGUGAAGAAGGCCUUAUGGUUGUAAAGCACUUUAAGCGAGGAGGAGGCUAACUUUAGUUAAUACCUAGAGAUAGUGGACGUUAGUCGCAGUAUAUACCUAUCGAGCUCUCACG
rnacentral:rRNA from 1 species